GCUCCGUAGGUGAACCUGCGGAGGGAUCAUUACAGAGUUCAUGCCCUCACGGGUAGAUCUCCCACCCUUGUGUAUUCAUACUUUUGUUGCUUUGGCAGGCCGUCGGGCUUCGGCCUGGCCACCGGCUCUAGAGCGGGUGCGUGCCUGCCAGAGGAUCUCCAAACUCUGGUUAUCAGUGUCGUCUGAGUAUUAUACAAUCGUUAAAACUUUCAACAACGGAUCUCUUGGUUCUG
rnacentral:misc_RNA from 1 species